AUAUAUAAAAGAAGAUGUGGUAUGAUUGCCAAUGAGACAACUAUCCACAAAAGACCAAAAUGACACAGACAUUAACAACUAUAGGUCACCGUACGGCCUUCAACAAUGAGCAAAGCCCAUAUCGCAUAGUCAGCUAUAAAAGGCCCCGAUAAGACAAUGUAAAACAAUUCAAACGAGAAAACUAACGGCCUUAUUUAUGUAAAAUAAAUGAACGAAAAACAAAUAUGUAACACAUAAACAAACGACAACCACAGAAUUACAGGUUCCUGACUUGGGAUAGGCACAUACAAUAAAUAAUGUGGUGGGAUUAAACAUGUAAGCGGGAUCCCAACCCUCCCCUAACCUGGGACAGUGGUAUAACAGUACAACAUAAGAAC
rnacentral:lncRNA from 1 species